UACGGGGGGUGCGAGCGUUGUCCGGAAUCACUGGGCGUAAAGGGCGCGUAGGUGGUUUGAUAAGGGUGUGGUGAAAGCCCGGGGCUCAACCCCGGGUCGGCCGUGCCGACUGUUGAACUCGAGGGCUGUAGAGGCAGACGGAAUUCCGGGUGUAGCGGUGGAAUGCGUAGAGAUCCGGAGGAAGACCGGUGGCGAAGGUGGCGACCUGGACAGGUACUGACACUCAACUACGAAAGCGUGGGGAGCAAACAGG
rnacentral:rRNA from 1 species